rnacentral:rRNA from 1 species
GACGAACGCUGGCGGCGUGCCUAAUACAUGCAAGUAGGACGCAGUUGCGAACGGGUGAGUAACGCGUAGGUAACUACCUAUUAGAGGGGGAUAACUAUUGGAAACGAUAGCUAAUACCGCAUACUAGUAGAUGGACCUGCGUUGUAUUAGCUAGUAGGUAGGGUAAUGGCCUCCCUAGGCAACGAUACAUAGCCGACCCUGGAGGGGUGUCCGCCACACUGGGACGGAGGAAAGGGCCCGGAUCCUACGGGAGGGAGCAGGAGGGAAAUAUAGGCCAUGGGGGGAACCCUGACCGAGCAACGGCGCGUGAGUGAAGAAGGUUUUCGGAUCUGAAAGCUCUGUUGUUAAGGAAGCGGUACUUAACCAGAAAGGGACGGCUAACUACGUGCCAGCAGCCGCGGUAAUUC